rnacentral:rRNA from 1 species
UACGAAGGGGGCUAGCGUUGCUCGGAAUUACUGGGCGUAAAGCGCACGUAGGCGGUCUUUUAAGUCGGGGGUGAAAUCCUGGAGCUCAACUCCAGAACUGCCUUCGAUACUGGAAGACUUGAGUCCGGGAGAGGUGAGUGGAACUGCGAGUGUAGAGGUGAAAUUCGUAGAUAUUCGCAAGAACACCAGUGGCGAAGGCGGCCAUCUGGGAUAACACUGACGCUCAUGCACGAAAGCGUGGGGAGCAAACAGG